AAAUGGUGAUUGUGAGGACUUAAGC
rnacentral:piRNA from 1 species